rnacentral:rRNA from 1 species
UACGAAGGGGGCUAGCGUUGCUCGGAAUCACUGGGCGUAAAGCGCACGUAGGCGGCUCUUUAAGUCAGGGGUGAAAUCCUGGAGCUCAACUCCAGAACUGCCUUUGAUACUGGGGAUCUCGAGUCCGGAAGAGGUAAGUGGAACUCCGAGUGUAGAGGUGAAAUUCGUAGAUAUUCGGAAGAACACCAGUGGCGAAGGCGGCUUACUGGUCCGGUACUGACGCUGAGACGCGAAAGCGUGGGGAGCAAACAGG